rnacentral:lncRNA from 1 species
CCAAACAUGAAUAUGCAACCAAAUCAAGGUCCCAUGAUGCACCAGCAGCCUCCUUCUCAGCAGUACAGCAUGCCACCUGGAGGUGCGCAGCAUUACCAAGGACAGCAGGCGCCCAUGGGGCUGAUGGGUCAAGUUAACCAAGGCAGUCACAUGAUGGGCCAGAGACAGAUGCCUCCCUAUAGACCUCCACAACAGGGAAACUCGCAGUACGGCCAGCAGCAGGACGCUUACCAAGGACCACCUCCACAGCAAGGAUACCCACCCCAGCAGCAGCAGUACCCGGGGCAGCAGGGCUACCCAGGACAGCAGCAGGGCUACGGUCCUACCCAGGGCGGUCCAGGGCCUCAGUAUCCUAAUUAUCCUCAGGGUCAAGGUCAGCAGUAUGGGGGCUAUAGACCAACACAGCCAGGACCACCACAGCCACCGCAGCAGAGGCCUUAUGGGUACGACCAGGGACAAUAUGGAAAUUACCAGCAGUGAAAAUGUCCUUACAUUCCAAUAGCCAGCACCUAUUAGCAGCCACAUUGUCACAGCUCUGCACCGUGGACACCCCCGGGGAAGGCUCCUUCCAUUCCAACUAGUUUUUGGAAAAACCUUUGGCUAAAUGGCUGCUUCAUUGGCAAGUAGCUUUUAUGGUGUAGUUUCUAAAGGCUUUCGUAGCUACCAACGCACCUGAUUUCACGUUUCUACUCUAGAUGGCAACAUUGGACAGAAAAUGCACUGACACAAGGACUUGGCAGCCAUUUCAACUGUGUUCCAAAUGGACUGUCACAGACUGAAAGGUGUGAACAGUUUUGCGUGUUCACGGAGGUUGAGGGUUUCAUACUUUUCCACAGAUUAUUUUGUAAGGGGAAGGGGAAAUGUACACUUUCUACAGCAGCCAUAUUUUGUCUAUAUGUUUAUUUCAUGUGGUGAAUAUGCAAAGCGGUACACUCCACACUGGGCAGAGAACCGGAACCUGGCAGUG